rnacentral:rRNA from 1 species
AGUGAACACUGGCGGUAGGCCUAACACAUGCAAGUCGAACGGCAGCACAGUAAGAGCUUGCUCUUACGGGUGGCGAGUGGCGGACGGGUGAGGAAUACAUCGGAAUCUACUUUUUCGUGGGGGAUAACGUAGGGAAACUUACGCUAAUACCGCAUACGACCUACGGGUGAAAGCAGGGGAUCUUCGGACCUUGCGCGAUUGAAUGAGCCGAUGUCGGAUUAGCUAGUUGGCGGGGUAAAGGCCCACCAAGGCGACGAUCCGUAGCUGGUCUGAGAGGAUGAUCAGCCACACUGGAACUGAGACACGGUCCAGACUCCUACGGGAGGCAGCAGUGGGGAAUAUUGGACAAUGGGCGCAAGCCUGAUCCAGCCAUACCGCGUGGGUGAAGAAGGCCUUCGAGUUGUAAAGCCCUUUUGUUGGGAAAGAAAAGCAGCAGGUUAAUACCCCGCUGUUCUGACGGUACCCAAAGAAUAAGCACCGGCUAACUUCGUG